rnacentral:misc_RNA from 1 species
UACGUAGGGGGCGAGCGUUGUCCGGAUUCAUUGGGCGUAAAGGGCGCGUAGGCGGCCGGCUCGGUCGCGCGUGAAAUCCCCCGGCUCAACCGGGGGGGGCCGCGCGAUACCGGCGGGCUGGAGGCCGGCAGGGGGGAGUGGAAUUCCCGGUGUAGUGGUGGAAUGCGUAGAGAUCGGGAGGAACACCGGUGGCGAAGGCGACUCCCUGGGCCGGUCCUGACGCUGAGGCGCGAAAGCGUGGGGAGCGAUCCGG